AGCGAACGCUGGCGGCAGGCCUAAUACAUGCAAGUCGAGCGCACCUUCGGGUGAGCGGCGGACGGGUGAGUAACGCGUGGGAACGUGCCCUUUGGUACGGAACAACUGAGGGAAACUUCAGCUAAUACCGUAUGUGCCCUUCGGGGAAAGAUUUAUCGCCAUUGGAGCGGCCCGCGUUGGAUUAGGUAGUUGGUGAGGUAAAGGCUCACCAAGCCUACGAUCCGUAGCUGGUCUGAGAGGAUGAUCAGCCACACUGGGACUGAGACACGGCCCAGACUCCUACGGGAGGCAGCAGUAGGGAAUCUUGCGCAAGUGGGCGAAAGCCUGACGCAGCCAUGCCGCGUGAAUGAUGAAGGUCUUAGGAUU
rnacentral:rRNA from 1 species